GACGUAGGGGGCCAGCGUUGUUCGGAAUUACUGGGCGUAAAGGGUUCGUAGGCGGUGUGGCAAGUCGGGAGUGAAAUCUCUGGGCUCAACUCAGAGACUGCUUCCGAAACUGCUGUGCUGGAGUGUGGGAGAGGCGCGUGGAAUUGCAGGUGUAGCGGUGAAAUGCGCAGAUAUCUGCAGGAACACCCGUGGCGAAAGCGGCGCGCUGGACCACUACUGACGCUGAGGAACGAAAGCUAGGGGAGCAAACAGG
rnacentral:rRNA from 1 species